rnacentral:lncRNA from 1 species
AAGACUUCCACUUCUCAGGACAAUGGGCAAUAGGAGUAAAGAGAAUUGAGGAGGACAGCAUCAGGGCCUCAAUCUCACGAGAUGGGAGAUGGCUAAGGGAUAGCACAUCAGACUAGAGAAGACAAAGGGAUGGAAGACGAAAAGUACACAACAGGUUAGUGUCGAGCUCUUGUGACCCACAGUGCUUGCCCCUCACCCAGG